AGAUUUUCAUGACUACAGAGGAGUAACAAAUUAUAUGAACAGAUUAAAAAUACUCAAUUUUUAAAAUAUAAUUUCCAGUGAGGAAAACUGAGAAGUUUGUCUACAGUUCAGUCUCACUGUCACUACUUAUUUCACAGGUUUGCACAAAUUACGAUGGAAUAAAUUGCUGCAAAAGAAUGGGCAACGAGCUGUCUUCAACACCUCCAGCUUAUACUCCUCUGGAGUGUAAUCCUGAAUCACUGGGACUACCUUGACAUUCAGAAUCUGGAGGAAAAAUGCCAGAUAGCCCUCUGCAGAAAGGUUUGGCCAAAUUAUAAAGGACUGGCUUGGCCUCAGGAAGGAACCAUUCAUUUUGAUACCAUCCUACAACCUUUACUUUGCCUUUUGGCCCACCAUGCCUUCAUCCUGUACCCAUAUGAACCCCGAACCCCAGGGUCCAAAAGCAGAUGAGAAGGCAAGGACAUGAGCAGACAAACAGCAGAAUGGCACACAGAGGAGAGAAAAGAAGGAACAUCUGAAUGCAGAGAGGAGUUUAGCUGGGGAUGACCAAACUCCAGAAGAAGACCAUCUUCCCACUCCAUCCUACUUCCAGCUCCUCACCCAUCCCACUGAGAGCCACCUCUACCACUCAAUAAAAGUCCUGCAUUCAUCCUUCAAGUCUGUGUGUGACCUGAUUUUUCCAAGAUGCUGGACAAGAGCUUGGGAUACAGAAAGCUGUCACACUGGUCCCCCUGCCCUUGCAAAAAGGCAGAGAGUCCACUGAGCUGGUUGACACAAUAAGGAGAUAAAAAAUGAACAGACUCAAAGACAUGUCUAAUAAUACCAAGAGGCACACUGCAUGAAAAAUAAGAAUCCCA
rnacentral:lncRNA from 10 species